rnacentral:rRNA from 1 species
UACAGAGGUCCCAAGCGUUGUUCGGAUUCACUGGGCGUAAAGGGCGCGUAGGCGGCCCGCUAAGUCAGACGUGAAAUCCCUCGGCUCAACCGGGGAACUGCGUCUGAUACUGGCAGGCUUGAAUCCGGGAGAGGGAUGUGGAAUUCCAGGUGUAGCGGUGAAAUGCGUAGAUAUCUGGAGGAACACCGGUGGCGAAGGCGGCAUCCUGGACCGGUAUUGACGCUGAGGCGCGAAAGCCAGGGGAGCAAACGGG